rnacentral:rRNA from 1 species
CGUGAUACGAGAUGCUACGGCGUCGAAGCAGUCUAUGUCAUACUUCCAAGAAAAGCUUGCACUGUCAUAAACAAAUAAUGCCUGUACCAUAACCGACACAGGUGGGUAGGUAGAGUAUACUAAGGGGCGCGAGAUAACUCUCUCUAAGGAACUCGGCAAAAUGACUCCGUAACUUCGGGAGAAGGAGUGCCUUAUUUAUAAGGUUGCAAUAACAAGAUCCAAGCAACUGUUUACCAAAAACACAGGUCUCCGCUAAGUCGUAAGACGAUGUAUGGGGGCUGACGCCUGCCCAGUGCCAGAAGGUUAAAGAAGUUGGUUAGCAUCCGCGAAGCUGAUAACUGAAGCCCUGGUGAACGGCGGCCGUAACUAUAACGGUCCUAAGGUAGCGAAAUUCCUUGUCGGGUAAGUUCCGACCCGCACGAAAGGCGUAAUGAUUUGGAUACUGUCUCGGAGAGGGGCUCGGUGAAAUAGACUUGUCUGUGAAGAUGCGGACUACCUGCACCAGGACAGAAAGACCCUAUGAAGCUUUACUGUAACCUGAAAUUGAAAUUGGACUUUACUUGCGCAGUAUAGGUGGGAGGCGUUGAGAAUAUUCUUGCGGGAUUAUUGGAGCCAUCAGUGAGAUACCACUCUUGUAAUGUUAGAUUUCUAACUUUGUAUCAUUAUCUGGUCAAAGAACAGUUUCAGGCGGGCAGUUUGACUGGGGCGGUCGCCUCCUAAACGGUAACGGAGGCGCACAAAGGUUUCCUCUGAACGGGUAGAAAUCGUAUCUAGAGUGUAAAGGCAUAAGGAAGCUUGACUGUGAGACCUACAAGUCGAGCAGGGACGAAAGUCGGUCUUAGUGAUCUGACGGUGCUGAGUGGAAAGGCCGUCACUCAACGGAUAAAAGUUACUCUAAGGAUAACAGGCUGAUCUCCCCCAAGAGUUCACAUCGACGGGGAGGUUUGGCACCUCGAUGUCGGCUCAUCGCAUCCUGGGGCGGUAGUACGUCCCAAGGGUUGGGCUGUUCGCCCAUGAAAGCGGUACGCGAGCUGGGUUCAGAACGUCGUGAGACAGUUCGGUCCAUAUCCGGUGUAGGCGUUAGAAUAUUGAGAGGAGCCUUCUUUAGUACGAGAGGACCGAGAAGGACAUACCUCUGGUGUACCAGUUAUCGUGCCAACGGUAAACGCUGGGUAGCUAUGUGUGGAGUGGAUAACCGCUGAAAGCAUCUAAGUGGGAAGCCCACCUCAAGAUAAGUAUUCUCAAC